ensembl:lncRNA
UUUGCAAAGAUUUAAGUGCGGUGGGGGGCGUUCCCUUAGAGACCGUGACAUCACACCCUACCUUCCCAGGGUGAGAAGGCGAGCUCUCACAGAUUGCACCUCUCUACUCAUUUUCCUGGAUUCAGGAUCCACAGACCUGUGUACAACACGUAAAGGGGACAACAAAGCGAGAGGUGCCCGGGUGCUUUUCCUUGCAAACCUGCGAGGAGCCGGUCACUCUUGUCUGACUGCUACAGCAGCUCACAAGGCCUCAGGUUCUCGGAUUUCGUCUUCAUCCCUCACCCUGCCGCCACCUUGGUUUCGUUGAGUGUUCACAGGGCAAUGUAUGGAACGGUCUGCCACCUCGGUUCACUGACCUCAGUUCUGAUGACACCCACCUCCACUCCCCGUCCAGUCACCCCUGCCCAUCCCGUAGAGGAAUUCACCCCCAUGGCUUCGGCGAUGACUCUGCACAUGUGAUUUCCAUCCUUCUAACUGCGGCCUGGACGGACCUCUCUCCUGAGCUGGGGACUGUCGAUCUAUCACGUCUUUCCCCUGAACCUCCAGCAGAUAAUACCUCACAGCCAAUACAUUCACCAUCUCUCCUGAUCUAACUUCCAUUGCUUCCCGUCUCUGUGAACAGAACCACCAGCGGCAAAGACAGAAAAGUCGGGCACACUAUUUAAUCUUCCUUGUCUUUCCCCAGGCUCAUAUCAGCUCAUCACCCUGUCCAGGUGCCUCUUGAAUCCGUCCACCUUGCUGCAUAUCUUUGCUGGUGACUGUGCGUCAACAUCUAUAAUAUUUCAGAUCAGACGUUCCCUUUGCCUCUCUCCUGGCUCACCCAUACUCCAUCUCCACUCCUGUAAGAAUCUUUGCUCAAACCUGCAGGGUGUUUUUUUCAAACUUUUUUGAUAUGGACCAUUUUUAGAGUCUUUAUUGAAAUUUUACAAUUCUGCGUCUUUUUUUUUUUUCUUAAUGUUUUGGCUUGUAGAUUGCAAAGCGUGUGGUUCUUAGCUCCCUGACCAGGGAUUGAACCUGUGCUACCUACAUUGGAAGGCAAAGUCUGAACCACUGGACCACCAGAGAAGUCCCUAAACUUGCAGUCUUUUAAAGGGAAUGCUUCAGUGGUCUCUUCUGUCCUUAAGGCAAAACCUGAAGUCCUCAGAGGAGCUUGUUUCUUAACCUCCUAUUUUAUCUAGAAAAAAAAAAUGCAGGGGCAUGUUUAAUUUUACCUCACAGUUUACAAAUGCUACUAUAAAUAACACACAUUAAAAUUAAAGCACAUGAAAUUUUAAAUAAAUUUAAAAAUUAAAAACAUAAAUUGUACAUAAUGAAUACAUACAUUUAAAAAUUAAAAUCAUAAAUUAAACUUGGUUUCCCAACCCUUUGAAAUCUCUGAGUAAAACUGAUGCAUCAGCAAAGCACUUCAUGUGUCCAAUGGUUUGGCAAGCACUCCAGGGAACUCACAUCCCAGUUCUAGAGUAUAAAGACACAGUGGCUUCAAUACCUUUCUUCUGAGGGAGGCUUGAAAGCCCAUUCACACACGCACAGGGACUGGGUUUCUUUUCCCCUGGCUUAAAAUCUGUUUCUCUUGAAACUCUAGAGGAGUUCUGAGAAGUCUGAAAGAUUCUUACAUACUUCCUUCCCUUCCAG